rnacentral:rRNA from 1 species
GACGAACGCUGGCGGCGUGCUUAACACAUGCAAGUCGAACGAAGUGGCGAACGGGUGAGUAAUACGUGGGUAACCUGCCCUCCUUUUUGGGAUAAGCCUUGGAAACGGGGUCUAAUACCGCAUAGCGGGGGAUGUGCUCGAGGCCUAUCAGCUGGUUGGUGGGGGGGUGGACUACCAAGGCGGUGACGGGUAGCCGGCCUGGGAGGGUGACGGGCAACAUUGGGACGGAGAUACGUGCCGGAUUCCUACGGGAGGCAGGAGUGGGGGAUAUUGCACAACGGGCGAAAGCAUGAGGCAGCGACGCCGCGUGAACGAAGAAGGCUGUAGAGUCGUAAAGUUGUUUCGGUACCAUAAGAAAAAGCCCCGGCUAACUACGUGCCAGCCGCCGCGGUAAUUC